rnacentral:rRNA from 1 species
GUGACAACCCCGUCUGGCUAACCGUUCUCCAUGUAUUGCCUUAUCAAAGAGUCGAGUUGUUUGGGAAUGCAGCUCAAAGUGGGUGGUAAACUCCAUCUAAAGCUAAAUACUGGUGAGAGACCGAUAGCGAACAAGUACUGUGAAGGAAAGGUGAAAAGAACUUUGAAAAGAGAGUGAAAUAGUAUGUGAAAUUGUUGAUAGGGAAGGAAAUGAGUGGAGAGUGGCCGAGGUUUCAGCCGCCCCUCGUGGGCGGUGUACUGCCGACGCCGAGUCAUCGAUAGCGAGACGAGGGUUACAAAUGGGAGCGCCUUCGGGCGUUCUCCCCUAACCCUCCACACUGCCACCGACGACAUAAUCCACCCAUUUCACCCGUCUUGAAACACGGACCAAG